rnacentral:tRNA from 1 species
UACGUGUUAGUAUACGAUGUACAAGGAUUUUUGGUAUCCUAAGAUUUAGUUUGAUUCUAUUAUACGUAA